rnacentral:tRNA from 1 species
CGUCGAUCUAGUGAGGCUUUAGCUUAAUUAAAGUGUUUGAGUUGCAUUCAGAAGAUGUAUAUUAAGGUUAUACAGGCCUU